rnacentral:rRNA from 1 species
GCUGCAUGCGACGCCGGCGGGGCGCGUAGUUUUCAAAAGACUACGCGUCGCGGGCGGUGUGGUGUGCGGAGCGGAUUGCGUGGAGCGGAUGAAAUUAAAAUAGGAGAUAUAUGACCCGUCUUGUAACACGGACCAAGGAGUCUAUCAUGUAUACGAGUUUAUGAGUGGAAAACUUGUAAGCGCAAUGAAAGUAAAGUAUUGGAAUUCCGGUAAGGGAAGGCACAAUAUUACGUUUUCAAAAAGUGGCGGUGUAUCAUUCGAGAGAGUGGACCGGCAUAAUAGGAAAAAUGAUAAAGAGUAUAUAUGGUGGGACCCGAAAGGUUGCGAACUAUUGGUGCUCAGGGCGAAGUGGGGGGAAACCCUCAUGGAGGCUCGAAGGGAUCCUGACGUGCAAAUCGGUCCUCGGAAGUGCCAAUAGGGGCGAAAGACUAAUCGAGCAGCCUAGUAGCUGGUUUCCUCCGAAGUUUCUCCCAGGAUAGCGUGGCGCAGAUAUGCAGCAGUUGUGUCCGGUAAAGCGAAUGAUUAGAAGCGUAGGGGACGAAAGGUCCUCGCCUUAUUCUCAAACUGUGAAUGGGCACGAACGCGGCACCCGCUUUGGUGGGGUGGCGCGGCGAAUGCAAGGCGGCCACAGUGGGCCUUUCUUGGUAAGCAGGAUGGGCGAUGAGGGAUGAACCUAACAUGCGGUUAAAGUGCCCAAGUGCACGUUCAGUCAGACCCCAUAAAGGGUGUUGGUAGAUCCAGACAGUAGGAAGGUGGUCAUGGAAGUCGAAAGCCUCUAAGCAGUGUGUAACAACAGACCUACCGAAUCUACCAGCCCCGAAAAUGGAUGGCGCUCAAACGUGACACUUAUACCGCAUUGUUACACUAGGGCAGGUGUAACAAGUAGGAGGACGUGGGGAUUGUUUUGAAGUAUAUCUGUGAAGGUGUAUGGAGCGGUCCCUAGCGCAGAUCUUGGUUGUAGUAGCGAUUACAUAAGUGGAAUACUUAUGGGCUGAAGAGGAGAAGGGUUUCAUAAGAACCGUGAUGGGUUAUGAGUUAGUCGAUCCUAAACUUUUACCCAAUGGUGUAUCAAUUGCACGGAAAAAGGAAGUAGAGGGCGUGCUCUCUAUUUUUGUAGUGCAAGAGAGUGAAAGGGAAAUAAGUUAAUAUUCUUAUACCGAGAUUUUAUUGUAGAGUUCCUCUUAGGUGGCAACACUAAGGAAACUUCCAGACGGCUUGCGUAGGGGCAGCAAGAGCAAUCGCCUCUUGUUAAAGCGGGCGCGACCGCGGAACGCCAUCAUGGCAAGAAGCGCGUGGCGGACCCGGUGAAGAGUGCUGGCGGCGCAUGCCGCAGCAUCUGACCCUGGGCGCAGGCUCCGUGAAAAUGGAAGGGCCCGACGGCGAGGAGCGCUCGAUCGUACCGAAACCGCAGCAGGUCUCCAAGGUCAGCAGCCUCUAGUCUAGCAGGAUAACGUGGGUAAGGGAAGUCGGCUAAAUGGAUGCGUAACUUUGGGAGAAGCAUUGGCUCUGAGGAUUAGUUUUUCAGAUGAUUUGACACACAUGCGCAUUCGGCCCUGUGCGACGUGCGAGGUUGGGCUGGUCACCUCUUCGGGGGAGGCCGGCUUGAUCUUUUGUGUUGUGCAGGAUGGGGUGCGCAUCCCUGGUCAAGUACAUUGUAUUUUUCUAUACCGCAUGAUUCGUCAUGCGGUAUUCGAGAAGUAUGGUUUAGUUUGAAGAAUAAGAAUAAUCAACUCAGAACUGUUACAGACCGGGAGAAUCCGACUGUUUAAUUAAAACAAAGCAUUGUGAUGGCUGGAAACCAGUGUUGACACAAUGUGACUUCUGCCCAGUGCUCUGAAUGUUAAAGUGAAGAGAUUCAACGAAGCGCGGGUAAACGGCGGGAGUAACUAUGACUCUCUUAAGGUAGCCAAAUGCCUCGUCAUCUAAUUAGUGACGCGCAUGAAUGGAAUAACG